rnacentral:rRNA from 1 species
GGUUAAGCGACUAAGCGUACACGGUGGAUGCCCUGGCAGUCAGAGGCGAUGAAGGACGUGCUAAUCUGCGAUAAGCGUCGGUAAGGUGAUAUGAACCGUUAUAACCGGCGAUUUCCGAAUGGGGAAACCCAGUGUGAUUCGUCACACUAUCAUUAACUGAAUCCAUAGGUUAAUGAGGCGAACCGGGGGAACUGAAACAUCUAAGUACCCCGAGGAAAAGAAAUCAACCGAGAUUCCCCCAGUAGCGGCGAGCGAACGGGGAGGAGCCCAGAGCCUGAAUCAGUGUGUGUGUUAGUGGAAGCGUCUGGAAAGGCGCGCGAUACAGGGUGACAGCCCCGUACACAAAAAUGCACAUGCUGUGAGCUCGAUGAGUAGGGCGGGACACGUGGUAUCCUGUCUGAAUAUGGGGGGGACCAUCCUCCAAGGCUAAAUACUCCUGACUGACCGAUAGUGAACCAGUACCGUGAGGGAAAGGCGAAAAGAACCCCGGCGAGGGGAGUGAAAAAGAACCUGAAACCGUGUACGUACAAGCAGUGGGAGCACGCUUAGGCGUGUGACUGCGUACCUUUUGUAUAAUGGGUCAGCGACUUAUAUUCUGUAGCAAGGUUAACCGAAUAGGGGAGCCGAAGGGAAACCGAGUCUUAACUGGGCGUUAAGUUGCAGGGUAUAGACCCGAAACCCGGUGAUCUAGCCAUGGGCAGGUUGAAGGUUGGGUAACACUAACUGGAGGACCGAACCGACUAAUGUUGAAAAAUUAGCGGAUGACUUGUGGCUGGGGGUGAAAGGCCAAUCAAACCGGGAGAUAGCUGGUUCUCCCCGAAAGCUAUUUAGGUAGCGCCUCGUGAAUUCAUCUCCGGGGGUAGAGCACUGUUUCGGCAAGGGGGUCAUCCCGACUUACCAACCCGAUGCAAACUGCGAAUACCGGAGAAUGUUAUCACGGGAGACACACGGCGGGUGCUAACGUCCGUCGUGAAGAGGGAAACAACCCAGACCGCCAGCUAAGGUCCCAAAGUCAUGGUUAAGUGGGAAACGAUGUGGGAAGGCCCAGACAGCCAGGAUGUUGGCUUAGAAGCAGCCAUCAUUUAAAGAAAGCGUAAUAGCUCACUGGUCGAGUCGGCCUGCGCGGAAGAUGUAACGGGGCUAAACCAUGCACCGAAGCUGCGGCAGCGACGCUUAUGCGUUGUUGGGUAGGGGAGCGUUCUGUAAGCCUGUGAAGGUGUGCUGUGAGGCAUGCUGGAGGUAUCAGAAGUGCGAAUGCUGACAUAAGUAACGAUAAAGCGGGUGAAAAGCCCGCUCGCCGGAAGACCAAGGGUUCCUGUCCAACGUUAAUCGGGGCAGGGUGAGUCGACCCCUAAGGCGAGGCCGAAAGGCGUAGUCGAUGGGAAACAGGUUAAUAUUCCUGUACUUGGUGUUACUGCGAAGGGGGGACGGAGAAGGCUAUGUUGGCCGGGCGACGGUUGUCCCGGUUUAAGCGUGUAGGCUGGUUUUCCUGGCAAAUCCGGAAAAUCAAGGCUGAGGCGUGAUGACGAGGCACUACGGUGCUGAAGCAACAAAUGCCCUGCUUCCAGGAAAAGCCUCUAAGCAUCAGGUAACAUCAAAUCGUACCCCAAACCGACACAGGUGGUCAGGUAGAGAAUACCAAGGCGCUUGAGAGAACUCGGGUGAAGGAACUAGGCAAAAUGGUGCCGUAACUUCGGGAGAAGGCACGCUGAUAUGUAGGUGAGGUCCCUCGCGGAUGGAGCUGAAAUCAGUCGAAGAUACCAGCUGGCUGCAACUGUUUAUUAAAAACACAGCACUGUGCAAACACGAAAGUGGACGUAUACGGUGUGACGCCUGCCCGGUGCCGGAAGGUUAAUUGAUGGGGUUAGCGCAAGCGAAGCUCUUGAUCGAAGCCCCGGUAAACGGCGGCCGUAACUAUAACGGUCCUAAGGUAGCGAAAUUCCUUGUCGGGUAAGUUCCGACCUGCACGAAUGGCGUAAUGAUGGCCAGGCUGUCUCCACCCGAGACUCAGUGAAAUUGAACUCGCUGUGAAGAUGCAGUGUACCCGCGGCAAGACGGAAAGACCCCGUGAACCUUUACUAUAGCUUGACACUGAACAUUGAGCCUUGAUGUGUAGGAUAGGUGGGAGGCUUUGAAGUGUGGACGCCAGUCUGCAUGGAGCCGACCUUGAAAUACCACCCUUUAAUGUUUGAUGUUCUAACGUUGACCCGUAAUCCGGGUUGCGGACAGUGUCUGGUGGGUAGUUUGACUGGGGCGGUCUCCUCCUAAAGAGUAACGGAGGAGCACGAAGGUUGGCUAAUCCUGGUCGGACAUCAGGAGGUUAGUGCAAUGGCAUAAGCCAGCUUGACUGCGAGCGUGACGGCGCGAGCAGGUGCGAAAGCAGGUCAUAGUGAUCCGGUGGUUCUGAAUGGAAGGGCCAUCGCUCAACGGAUAAAAGGUACUCCGGGGAUAACAGGCUGAUACCGCCCAAGAGUUCAUAUCGACGGCGGUGUUUGGCACCUCGAUGUCGGCUCAUCACAUCCUGGGGCUGAAGUAGGUCCCAAGGGUAUGGCUGUUCGCCAUUUAAAGUGGUACGCGAGCUGGGUUUAGAACGUCGUGAGACAGUUCGGUCCCUAUCUGCCGUGGGCGCUGGAGAACUGAGGGGGGCUGCUCCUAGUACGAGAGGACCGGAGUGGACGCAUCACUGGUGUUCGGGUUGUCAUGCCAAUGGCACUGCCCGGUAGCUAAAUGCGGAAGAGAUAAGUGCUGAAAGCAUCUAAGCACGAAACUUGCCCCGAGAUGAGUUCUCCCUGACCCUUUAAGGGUCCUGAAGGAACGUUGAAGACGACGACGUUGAUAGGCCGGGUGUGUAAGCGCAGCGAUGCGUUGAGCUAACCGGUACUAAUGAACCGUGAGGCUUAACCUU